UGGGGCUAGAGGGGAGGCGGCGGUGUGGGUUAGGGUCCGCGGGGGCGGGUUAGGGGUAGGUCGUCGCGUGCCGCCCCCCUCCAGCGCCGCCGCGCCGAGCUAGUCCGCCGGACCGAGGGCGAGGCCAGUGGGGAGGGGGUCGGUCGAGCCCAAAAGGCCAGUCGUGGCACAAAGACUCUCUACUGAGCCCGAUUCUCGCUCUCGCUGGCCCACUACGGACCAGGCCUGGUCCAACUGAACCGUAGGGUGCUACUACUAUCGCGCUCCCUCAGUGGUGCAUCCUCUCGACCUGGUGUUGACUUCUUUCCGGGAACCUGUGGCCGGCUCCUACGGUAGAACCUCCGCAUACAAUUCUUCGUACCACACGUCUUGACCUUACACCACGUCUUCCUGUGGCCCGACAAUUCCACGCCGUUCUCGACGGCAGAGGCGACCCGUUUGGUGGACUCCGGGCUGGAUUUCUUCCCGUGAAAGUGGUUUCUCCUCCUCUUGGAUUAGUAAUUCGAGGUAAGGUUUUACCCCUUAUUCACCCGAGCUUACCGACGGGCAAACGGUCCCGCGUGACUAUUACUUUAUUUUUUGAUGACCUUGUGAGCUUAUUUCUUUACGGUCGCGUGGAGAUGCGGAUAUAUAGGACGACUUUAUACGGAUGUCCGAAGUUUACUUCUAGUCGUACUCAGGCGACUGAAGUCAAAAUCGCUCUUCGACCGGUUACUAGAGGAGGUACCUUUACCAAAUAUACUAGGGUCAAGUUGCACCCCGCUAAAGUAACUACUGGUUCUUCGAAACAGAAUACGCGGGGUCGAAGGUCUACAAAGAAAGUCGUUAAAUGGACCAGACAUGAAACUCAGUUGUUUGGUACCGAAGCACCUAGUUCAAUUGGUUCGUCUUCAAGACUUUCUUAGACUCUAAAGUAAAGGAACCAACUUGCGCCGGUAGUUACCAUGGAAGCUACCGUCGGUACGGAAAAGUUUACCGUUGAAGAGAUGAAGAUCCGGGUACUGACCAGGGACCUUCUACCUCGAGGGAAGUAAGGUUAAACGACCUAGACUAGGUUUGUUGACCAGGCGUAUGAGUUCCUGGACACGACGCGUCCCACGGUUGAAACGACUAGGGACGUACGCGAGUAGUCGCCGUUACCGUAGUCGAUUCAAACUCGUGUACACGUACUAUGGUCCCUUGUCGCCAGUCAACCUUCUCGGCGAAGGUCUUCGAGUACGUCAUUCGAGACGUCUCUUGGUCGUCGACAGGCACCCCUCAAGCUCACGGAGAUGACCGAGUGGGACGCUACGAUACCACCUUUGUAGUCUCGAGGUAAAGAACCUCGCUCUGGGGUUGGACAUGCGAGAACAGUUGUCGACAAGCGGGCGGAGCGGAGAAACGGUUCGUAGCGGACUACUCAAUGGCACGAGGCUAAAAAGUAGACGUCGCUCGGGACACAAACAUAGUCUACUUGGUUGUUAGGACGUUAUGCUUUUUCCUAAAGAGAACGGAGUAGGACUUCUAAGGCCCCGUCUGCGUAAGAGGGUAACCUUGCGCUACGGCGGGUAGAAGGUCACUACGCUAAGUUUACCCAGAUGUUACCACGUCCGUCCAUGGACACUCGCCGUAGGGAAGCUUGGUCUGCUUUAGAGGUUGACCGGAGGUUAUUUCGACAUCUUCUCAGCCAACAAGAAACAAGGUAAUAGAGCUCAUCUUAAGGGAGCACAAGUCGGUUGGACGUUCUGCGCGAGUGAAACCGGUUGGAAGUUUUACGGGUGACUUCAUGCAUUCCUCCAAGUAACAACAGGUUCGUACGCGGUUCCACCGUGUAACGACGGGUGGACCGUACGAAGACCUCCUCUGCCUCCUUCCUCUCGUGGAUCAUCCUACGGUGUACCCGCCUUUCACCACCGGAACUGAGAAACAGGCAGAGGAGGUAGUCCCACAGACGGACACCCGUUUUCCGCAGCGAAACCUGCCAUAACUGGGAGAACAAUGGUCCAACUUACUCAUCCAACCUGUAAAAGUUUCGGCCUACCGGUUUCACUCGCGGACCGCGUACAGCUGACUGACGCUCACCAAAGUGAGGGUAAAAAGAGUAGUAGUCUUGAAACCGUGGAGGCAGCGGACGGACAUGGACAUUGUGACCACACAUGCGAACUUGUAAGGAACCAAAUAAGAUAAGGUGCAUCGUGCCGACAUGUGCCACGGUCGUACAACACUACAAGAAAACUCCAAAAUAUAUAGACGCUUAAGCCUCCG
rnacentral:rRNA from 1 species